rnacentral:rRNA from 1 species
UACGAGAGGCCCAACCGUUAUUCGGAAUUACUGGGCUUAAAGAGUUCGUAGGCGGCGCAGAAAGUAGGGUGUGAAAGCCCUCGGCUUAACCGAGGAAUUGCGCUCUAAACUACUGUGCUUGAGGAACCUAGAGGUGAGCAGAACAGAUGGUGGAGCGGUGAAAUGCGUUGAUAUCAUCUGGAAUACCGGAGGCGAAGGCGGCUCACUGGGGGUUUUCUGACGCUGAGGAACGAAAGCCAGGGUAGCGAACGGG